AGAGUUUGAUCAUGGCUCAGAUUGAACGCUGGCGGCAUGCCUUACACAUGCAAGUCGAACGGCAGCACGGAGCUUGCUCUGGUGGCGAGUGGCGAACGGGUGAGUAAUAUAUCGGAACGUACCCUGGAGUGGGGGAUAACGUAGCGAAAGUUACGCUAAUACCGCAUACGAUCUAAGGAUGAAAGUGGGGGAUCGCAAGACCUCAUGCUCGUGGAGCGGCCGAUAUCUGAUUAGCUAGUUGGUAGGGUAAAAGCCUACCAAGGCAUCGAUCAGUAGCUGGUCUGAGAGGACGACCAGCCACACUGGAACUGAGACACGGUCCAGACUCCUACGGGAGGCAGCAGUGGGGAUUUUUGGACAAUGGGCGAAAGCCUGAUCCAGCAAUGCCGCGUGAGUGAAGAAGGCCUUCGGGUUGUAAAGCUCUUUUGUCAGGGAAGAAACGGUGAGAGCUAAUAUCUCUUGCUAAUGACGGUACCUGAAGAAUAAGCACCGGCUAACUACGUGCCAGCAGCCGCGGUAAUACGUAGGGUGCAAGCGUUAAUCGGAAUUACUGGGCGUAAAGCGUGCGCAGGCGGUUUUGUAAGUCUGAUGUGAAAUCCCCGGGCUCAACCUGGGAAUUGCAUUGGAGACUGCAAGGCUAGAAUCUGGCAGAGGGGGGUAGAAUUCCACGUGUAGCAGUGAAAUGCGUAGAUAUGUGGAGGAACACCGAUGGCGAAGGCAGCCCCCUGGGUCAAGAUUGACGCUCAUGCACGAAAGCGUGGGGAGCAAACAGGAUUAGAUACCCUGGUAGUCCACGCCCU
rnacentral:rRNA from 1 species